ACGUAGGGGGCAAGCGUUGAUCGGAAUCACUGGGCUUACAGGGUGCGCAGGCUUGCCCGACCUCGUCUUGUGAAAGCCCCCGGCUCAACCGGGGAACAGCGGGGCGAACUUCGGGUCUUGAGGCAGGUAGGGGCGGAUGGAACUGUCGGUGGAGCGGUGGAAUGCGUAGAUAUCGACAGGAACGCCGAUGGCGAAGGCAGUCCGCUGGGCCUGUCCUGACGCUCAGGCACGAAAGCGUGGGGAGCAAACAG
rnacentral:rRNA from 1 species